rnacentral:rRNA from 1 species
AUUGAACGCUGGCGGCAGGCCUAACACAUGCAAGUCGCACGAGUGGCGGACGGGUGAGUAAUGUCUGGGAAACUGCCUGAUGGAGGGGGAUAACUACUGGAAACGGUAGCUAAUACCGCAUACCAUCGGAUGUGCCCAGAUGGGAUUAGCUAGUAGGUGGGUGAAAGGCUCACCUAGGCGACGAUCACUAGCUGGUCUGAGAGGAUGACCAGCCACACGGUAACUGAGCAACGGUCCAGACUCCUACGUGCGGCAGCAGUGGUGAAGAGUGCAACAUGGGCGCAAGCCUGAUGCAGCAAUGCCGAGUGUAUGAAGAAGGCCUUCGGGUGGUAAAGUACUUUCAGCGGGGAGGCGUUACCCGUAGAAGAAGCACCGGCUAACUCCGUGCCAGCAGCCGCGGUAAUUC